CCACGGACUGUCCCCAAGACGCGAUCUGUCAGAUCAGCAACGUGGGCGGCGUCAGCGUCAGCAAGUGUUGUUUCGACCCCGAGAAGUGUGCAGUGAAGGCGGGCCAGUGUCCCCACUCUAGAGACACAGCCACGUGCACCAACACGUGUAUCGACGACGGCGACUGUACGACGACGUUGAAAUGUUGCAGGACAGCGUGCAACGGCAAGAAAUGUAUCGAACCCUUCCACGGCUGGUACUGGCGAGGUCGCUGACGUAGAACGCAUUGAUUAGUUAACUUGUAGAUUGUACUCAGUACACACUGCUCAACCCUAUCUGCUGUUUGAAACUAUUUGUAUUUUUAUAUAAAGCAUUGAUAAUAAA